AUUGAACGCUGGCGGCAUGCCUUACACAUGCAAGUCGAACGGCAGCACGGGAGCAAUCCUGGUGGCGAGUGGCGAACGGGUGAGUAAGGUAUCGGAACGUGCCCAGUCGUGGGGGAUAACGUAGCGAAAGUUACGCUAAUACCGCAUACGAUCUAUGGAUGAAAGCGGGGGAUCGCAAGACCUCGCGCGAUUGGAGCGGCCGAUAUCAGAUUAGGUAGUUGGUGGGGUAAAGGCUCACCAAGCCGACGAUCUGUAGCUGGUCUGAGAGGACGACCAGCCACACUGGGACUGAGACACGGCCCAGACUCCUACGGGAGGCAGCAGUGGGGAAUUUUGGACAAUGGGCGCAAGCCUGAUCCAGCCAUGCCGCGUGCAGGAUGAAGGCCUUCGGGUUGUAAACUGCUUUUGUACGGAACGAAAAGGUUUGACUUAAUACGUUGGACUCAUGACGGUACCGUAAGAAUAAGCACCGGCUAACUACGUGCCAGCCGCCGCAGUAAUAC
rnacentral:rRNA from 1 species